GCAGAGAUAAAAACACUGUCCGGUUGGUAGUCCGGACACAGUAAUUUUCUGAGUUUGAAAGAACAACUCAUAUUUUACUGUCAGUAACCUGCCUCCUUGGUUGUCCCUUCUCUGUCAG
rnacentral:ncRNA from 1 species